rnacentral:lncRNA from 1 species
CAUCAUCAAACUUUAACAAAAGAAGUUUAAACCAAAUAAACAUCAUAACCAAGAUUUGUCAAGCUCAUAUACAGGUUAAAGUUUUUAAAACAUUCUACAACACGGCAAAAGUGAUAAGAGAGACAAAGUGUUGCAGCGGAGUACAUCAUUGGACAUUAUGUAUGAAGACACAAUAUCCUGAGCCUAUUACUAUUUACAUAAACAAAAAGCUCCAGCUCAGCACACUUCCAUCUUCAUCCAAACUUAACCUGCACAUUUAAAAAGAUAUGCAGGGCUGAGUACCACAAGCACUCAGUGAACAUAUGCCGAAAACAUUUAAAACUCUGCAUGAUAAUGCUAUAUAUUGAACUUGCCACUUUAAGCAAUACACAAGGGAUUUUCUGAAGCAACCUGUGUUUGCUAAACUGUUUUUACAUAGUAUUUGAAAGUGUCUGCGCAGACUAAGUUCUCAUGUAAGUAUGUACCAUAUCUACUAGUCUCAAUAAACACGUUGAGAAGUAGGCCUCCUUCCCAAACGUAACGACAAGCUAACUCAAGGUUAACCGUCACUCUGUGUACACAAAUCCUGACUCGCUCAGGACCCGAAUUCGUUCUUCUAUGUAGAUGGUAUCAUACAAAUCUUAAACAUUGGCAAGUCAACAAUUUGAAAAUAAAUGCAUACACUUAAACUUUAUAUAUUAAAGUAUGCAUCUUUGUUUCUUGAGUUAGUAAGCCCACCUGAUAUGUUUCUCUUACUUCGUACUCUAGUGUCAGGCUCGUUCCUAGCCGGGACCUUUAAAUAGAUAAAAAUUUCGUAAGAAAAAUAAGUAAGUAAAAUAUAUAUAUAUCUAAUACUAUAACAAUAACUCAUGUUUCCUGUUAACUUAUUAUUCUAACAUUUCCUCACAUCAUAUCAUCAAUACAAUAACACCACUCAUCCUCUUAACUCAAUAAGGAAAAAAAAGAAUAAGCCCACAGAUGUUUGUCAAUUCUCACUGAAAAGAUACAUAUUUAGUUUAAUAAACUAUCUUUAUCAAUCUCCUCAAUCUCUUUGAAAUAAAAUCUCAAUGAUGAUCUCAAUUUAAACUCAAUUAUUAAAGUCACUAAUCUCAUCCAUAUGCAUAAAAAUAGAAACUUUAUCAAUUCCCUGCUCUUUAUACUAUAGAGCUGUACAAAAGAAUUGGGUAGUAAAGGCUGUUCUACUCUUAAUAAUUUAUAGAAUCACUAUAAUAUACUUAUAUCCAUCAAACAAUAGCAUAUAACCCUUCUCAACUCAAAAGCCCCAACUUCCCCUAAACUAACAAAAUCAAUCUCACAAACCCUAUGGUGCAAACUCAUAAUAUACUCAUAUAUAAUCAUAAUUCCAGCUCAAGAGCACAUAUAUAAACUCAUUUAUUCAAGAACAUAACCAGAAUUUUCGAACUCAAACCUAGGGUUUACACUAACUUGAGAAAAAUCCAAAAUCAAGUAACAAUUACUGCAAUUUACCCACCACAAUCAUGCUUAGGAAUCAUCAGAAACAUAAUAUAUAUCAAUAUUAGAAUCAGACUUCAACUCUAAUAUAAAAUCCCUAAUUUUCGAAGAACCCUAAAAUUCAAAACAGAAAUCUCCUUCAAGUUAAAAGUUAGAGAGAGGUAGAAAAUCAAGAACUUUACCAGUUCUUCCAAAAUAUGUAGUUAUUGCUCAAAAUUUCUAGGUAGAAUUGAGCUCGCAGGAUUGGAAAUGGUGGUACUGUGUGGGGGAGUCGAAGGUUGUGGAGGUAGGAAAUAUAAGUAAGUUUUCUUCUAAUUUCUAACUUGAGUAAUAUAUAUAUGUGUUCCCCUUUUUGCUCCUUGGAAACCGUGCGAUUAAAAUGGGUUGAUAGAGUUAGCAAAUUUUUUUUGUAAUCUGACUCCAUUCGCUCCACUUAGAAUUUUCUCUUUUUUUUUUUAAUACUAAUAAAUCAUAUAAGACCAACUACAAAUAUUAAUAAAUAGAUUUAUAAAUAAAUGAAAUUCUUUUAGGAAAACGCCUAAAUAAUUAUUCUCCAACUACAAAAAUUUAAUGAAGCCAAUCAACAUUGGAUUUACAGAUCUCGUAGAUAAAUCUCCUUUAAUUCAGAUUAGUACAGUUGGUUUUAACGAACCAACACCUAAACUAUAAGGAAAACAAUUACCUAGUCGGGCUGAAAGAAGUAAAAAUGAUCGGAAAACUUGCAAAGAAAACACUUGUAUUCGAAAAUAUGAGAAGCGUUCAUAAUACACGAGCUCGGGCCCUAUUUAUAGAUUUACAAACGGAGGGGUAAAAUAGUAAAAACAUCUUCGGUGCAUGCGUCUUGCGUGGUGGAAGGGUAUACUGGUAAUUUCGAUAAUACGCGGGAGGCCUUCCCGCGCAUUUAAUGACUCCUCUGGUAAAGAUGUCUCUUCUGGCAAAUGCGUCUUCUCUGGCGAUGUAAUCUCUGGUGGAGGUGACUCUUCUGGCAGACACGUCGUCUCUGGCAAAGGCUUCUCCUCUGGCGAUGGUGACUUCCCUGGCGCGGAUGACUCUUCUGACAAACACGUCGUCUCUGGCAAAGGCUUCUCCUCUGGCGAUGGUGACCUCCCUGGCGCGGAUGACUCCUCUGACGAAGGUGGUUCCCCUGGUGAGGGUGACUUCUCUGAAGAACGCGAUUCCUCUGGCAAGAGCCAUUCCUCUGAUGGGUGAUAUCCUUUUGGUAAGGAUGGUUCUUCUAACCCAUACUGCUCCUCUGACGGGAGUGAUUCCUCUGAUUUGUACUCUCUCCCUACUCUGCACAUAUUGCUCCUCACCAAAUCUUAAUUACCAAACCAAUAAACUCAUUAGUAAAUAAUACUCAAAUAAUUAAAUAGCAUCUCAAGCUAUUUAAUUCCUUUAACAACUACUCCCUCCGUCCCGCUAUUCAAGUCUCAUUUUCCUUUUUGGGUUGUCCCACCGAUAAUGUCCCGUUUCCUAAAAAGGAAAUAAUAAGGGGAUGCUUAACAUUAAUUAAAACACUAAUUAAAUGUCUAAUACAAAAGAUCAAAAAUACAUCUAACCCUAGAAUUCAAGGAGACUCUCGGCCCUCUCUCUCUCUGCGCCUCCACCCUCACUUUCUCUCCGGUGGACGCCGGAUCUGUCACCUCUCUCCGGCGCUCAGUGAAGCCACGGCCGCCUCUCCUUCCACUCACAAAUCCAGCACAGAGCCACCGCCAUCGUCACCAACAACAGCUCCCUCUCCCCACUCCUCGGUCGAGCGACAGCAGCUCACGUCGCCGCCCUCGGACGCCCUUUUCCUCCCUCUGAUCUCCUCCGCCUCCGCCUCUCACCUCUGAUCUCCCCUGACCCUCUGCAAAACCCUAACCCCUAAUUUGGGUUGCAGAUUUGGUUGGGGGAAAUCGUUUGAUUUCACCUUUGAAUCUGCAUCGCCGCUCCAUCCUACCCAAUUUCAAUUGCUCUACCAUUAAUUUGUCUCUCACAUCAUUUCAUGUCACGUAAUUAUACUUGAAUCUCUAGUCUUUUGGUGUUGAUGGGCUUAGAGUUGUUAGAGAAGGUCUUAGACUAUGCAAAGAAGAAGAGAAAGUGGGCAUUUGUUGUGGGACUCACGUGCUACGGCGUGCACAAGCUCUACAACUUCCCCUGUGUUGUUAAGAGGAGGCAAAGCUUCUCCAAAUUCUUGGCUGCCUUCACUUCAGUAGCUGAAAUGGUCUCCGAUUCCGCCGACGCACUCGGGAUGCUUUCCAAAGAUCUCAAGCAGUUUCUCGCCUCGGAUUUCUGAGCUCGAUUUCGAUUUUGGUGGGUUGCAACCCAACUUCUGCAAUUUCGCCCAAAUUUCUGCAAAUCGCCCAAUUUCUGAAAAUUUAUGUUCAUUUAAGAAUUUUAGUUUUUCAUAAUUUCAAUUUUUCAUUUUCAGAAUUUUAAUUAUUUAGGAAUUUUUCAUUUUCAUUAGAAUCAUCAAACAUUAACAAUCCCUUAAUCACAAACUUAAAUAUGUGGACCCCACUCUUUAUUCUACUUACUUCAUUCUCCUUAAUCUCCGUGGCGAAAAGAAACGGGACAUGAAUAGCGGGACGGAGGGAGUAUAUAAAUACUAAUAAAAAUAUUAUAAAAAUAUACGGGGUAUUACAUCCUCUCCCCCUAAAAAUAAAUUUCGUCCCGAAAUUUGCGUACCUCGUUAAAUAACUCGGGGUAUUUCUCUCUCAUCUUGUUCUCGAGUUCCCAUGUCGCUUCAUCUCGCCCAUGGUGUCUCCACUGGACCUUGACCAAGUUAAUGGAUUUGUUUCGCAGUUGUUGAAUCUUGUUAUCCAAAAUCAUUUCAGGUCUCUCUUCAUAGCUCAUAUCUGGUUCAAUUUCUAUCUUUUCUUGGUGGAUGACAUGUUUGGGGUCGAAGACAUACUUUCGCAACUGCGACACGUGAAACACGUUAUGCACGUUGCCAAAAUUUGGUGGCAGUGCUAAUCUGUAGGCGACUGGGCCUAUUUUCUCCAAAAUCUCAUAUGGUCCUAUGAAUCUCGGUUUUAACUUUCCUUUCACUCCAAACCUGGAUACUCCUUUAGUCGGCGAAACUUUUAGAAAUACUUUGUCCCCCAUCUCAAACUGCAGCUCGGUUCGUCGAUUAUCGGCAUAAGAUUUUUGUCUAUCCUGUGCCUCUUUCAUUCGUUGUUUAAUCUGUCGGACAAUUGUAAUCAUCUCCUCCACCGCAUCGGGUCCUAAGACUCUUCUUUCACCCACUUCAUCCCAAUAAAGAGGAGAUCGACACUUCCUUCCAUACAGAGCUUCGUAUGGUGCCAUGUUGAUCGUUGCUUGAAAACUAUUAUUAUAAGCAAACUCAAUAAGGGGUAGAGCUUGUUCCCAUUGCGUGCUUUGAUCCAAUACAAUGGUUCUGACCAUAUCUUCUAAAGUUUGAAUGGUCCUUUCAGAUUGCCCAUCAGUUUGGGGAUGAAAAGCUGUACUGAAAUUCAGCUUGGUGCCCAAUUCUUUCUGUAGACUCAUCCAAAAUCGUGAGGUAAACUUAGAAUCUCGGUCCGACGUAAUAGUUAUUGGUAUUCCAUGUAAUCGUACUAUUUCUCGGACAUACAAUUGGGCCAAUUUGUCAGAGCCAUAAGUAAUGGGGAUUGGAAUAAAAUGAGCACUCUUCGUAAGUCGGUCUACGAUUACCCAAAUUGCCGUAUUUCCUCUUUUGGACUUUGGCAGACCGGUUACAAAAUCCAUUGUUAUAUGCUCCCAUUUCCAUUCCGGAACUUCCAACGGUUGUAACUUCCCAUAAGGUCGUUGGUGUAACGCCUUUACCUGUUGACAAGCCAAGCAUCGUUCAACAAAAGAAGCUAUGUCUCGUUUCAUUCCUUCCCACCAGAAUUUCUGUUUAAGAUCUUGAUACAUUUUGGUGCUUCCUGGGUGAGCAGUAUAUGGCAUUUUAUGAGCUUCACUCAUGAUUUCGUCCUUUAAGCUUUUAUCAUUCGGAACAACAAGUCUUCCCUCGUACAAAAUUGCAUUGGCUGCUGCUUCUUUAUAUCCACUAACUCGUUCUGUCCGAAUUUUGAGUCGUAACCCUUCUAACUUUUCAUCAUUUCUUUGCGCAUUGGCCACCCUAGUUCUCAGAUCAGGAGUUAUUGUCAAGGUCGCUAUCAUACCCUCCAUAGUUUGCGGUGGCAAAAUCACUUCUAGCUUCAAUUUUUCAAAAUCCUUGAUAAGUUCUUCCCUUUGUGUGAGGAGAAACCCUAGCUUGGAUUGGCUCUUUCUACUUAAAGCAUCAGCUACUACAUUAGCUUUCCCUGGAUGAUAAUUGAUUCCACAGUCGUAGUCUUUGACCAAUUCAAGCCAUCGUCUUUGUCUCAUGUUCAGAUCUUUCUGCUCAAAGAAAUAUUUGAGACUUUUGUGAUCUGUAUAGAUUUCGCACCUAGCCCCAUAGAGAUGGUGUCUCCAAAUUUUAAGUGCAUGGACUACAGCUGCUAGUUCUAGGUCGUGUGUUGGAUAAUUCAAUUCAUGUGGUCGUAGUUGUCGUGAUGCAUAGGCAAUGACUUUGUCGUUCUGCAUCAACACACAACCUAGUCCAAUCUUUGAAGCAUCAGUGUAAAUUGCAUAUUCUUUAUCAGCUUCUGGCACUGCCAACACUGGGGCUGUAGUUAACUUAUUCUUGAGUUCUUGGAAGCUCUCUUCACAUUCCUCCGUCCAUAUAAAUUUGGUAUUCUUCUUGAGUAAUUGGGUCAUCGGCCGUGCUAUCUUAGAGAAUCCUUCAAUAAAUCUUCGAUAGUACCCAGCAAGACCUAAGAAACUGCGAAUUUCGUUAGCUGUAGUGGGUGAUUUCCACUCUUGCACAACUUGUACUUUUGCAGGGUCAACCUUAAUUCCUUCCGAUGAGACAAUAUGCCCCAAGAAAUUUACUUCUCUCAACCAAAAUUCGCAUUUGCUGAACUUGGCAUAAAGUUUUUCAGCUCUUAAUCUCUCCAAUACAGUCUUGAGAUGUUCUUCAUGUUCUUCUUUACUCUUUGAGUAGAUAAGAAUAUCGUCUAUGAACACCAAUACAAACUUAUCCAAAUAUGUGUGAAAUACACGGUUCAUAAGGUCCAUGAACACUGCUGGGGCAUUGGUUAACCCAAAAGGCAUUACUACGAAUUCAUAGUGUCCAUACCUUGUUCGAAAAGCAGUUUUAGGGACAUCGUCUCGUCGUAUCUUCAAUUGGUGAUAUCCAGAUCUCAAAUCCAUUUUUGAAAAGACACUUGCUCUCUAAGCUGAUCAAACAAGUCGUCUAUCUUGGCAAGGGUAUUUUUCUUAAGUGAGUUUAUUUAACUCACGGUAAUCGAUACACAUCUCAAUUCCUCCUUUUUCUUGAAAAAGGACUGUGCUCCCCACGGAGACACGCUUGGUCGAAUGAAUCCUAGAUCAAGAAGUUCUUGCAGUUGAAUUUUUAAUUCCUGCAAUUCUUUCGGAGCCAUUCUGUACGGUGCUUUGAUAUUGGAGCGCGCCAGGUUCGAGAUCAAUAGUAAAUUCCACUUGUCUAUCCGUGGCAAACCGGAAAGCUUCUGGAAAAACGUCUUAUACUCCCGCACUACUGGUACAUCACAAUGCUAUUUCUGAUUUUACUUCUUUAUUCAAAUAGACCAAGUAUGCUACAUUCUCCCUAUCCCGCAACAACUUCACGGUUUGCAUUGCUGAUAAUACAACAGGUGUUUUCCUCUUUUCUUUCCAUCCGAGAAGCAAGUAGGUUCUUUUCCUGGUGGUUGAAAACAAAUUUCCUCAUUUCGCAUCGAAUCGUCGCAUAAUUUUCCUCAACCAAUCCAUUCAAGAAUAAUUCCACGUCCCAAUCGGCAUUAAAUGCAAACAUUUGCUGUCAUCUUAAGGGGACCUAACUCAAAGUCUAAGUUAGACAGGUGUGCUUAGUUGUGAUACCCUUGCCUAGAGGAGUCAUUACCCCCAUUUAUUUUUAUCUUGUUCUACAUUAAGCUCAAAGGUAUCUACGCAGGCAUAUGAUAUGAAUGAAUGCGAGGCACCAGUAUCAAAUAACACGAUGAUAGGCACACCCUUUAAUUGACCCAUACCUGCCAAUUACCUUGGUUCUUCUCAAAAGGUUUUGCUCUAGGGCAAAAAUCCGUUGGUGUUGUUGUUGAUUCACGGCUGCUUCUGUGGUUGUUGUUGUUGUUGUUGUUGUUGUGUGUGUGUGUUGUUGUUGCUGCUGCUGUUGUUGUCGUAGCUGUUGCUGUGGUGGAUGUUGUUGUUGCGGGGUGGAAAUUUCCCUCCGUAGCCUUUAGAUUUGGAGUUGGGUUGGGGUACGUCUUCCCCUCUAUUACCUCGUUGCUUAUUUGGGCAUUGGUUCGAGAAAGCCCGCUUGUCCACAUGUAUAGCAGCUGUUACUACCAGCCUUACAAAUUCCAGUAUGCAUUUUAUUGCAUUUGGAACACGGUGGAAUUCCCUGUUGUCCCAGAGGUGGUUUGACAUUUCCAGAGAAUUAUUGCUGACCUGGUCCUUGCCAUAUCCUCUUGUUGGGCUGAUUUUGAUAUUCCCACUUUCUUUUUCCUUUCUGAGUUGAAUUUUGAUUAGCAAAAGGUGGAUUGAUAGGCGCUCGUGGCUUUGCCUGGUACUGAGGUGGCUCUGGUGCUUGAGAUGCCUUCUCGGGCUGCAUAGCUAGUUCCAUGUCAAGUGCCCUAUUCAGAGCUUCGACAUAAGUUAAAGUAUCUUGACUUACCAAUAUCACUCGGAUAUCUUGUCUCAAUCCAGCACAGAAAAGUUCAGACAUCUUUUCGUCCGUAUCUACUUUAUAUGGAGCAUAACGAGCUAAGUCGCAGAAUUCACGGUCAUACUCUGCAACAGUCUUAUUCCCUUGCUUCAAAUUAGUAAAUCCCAUUUCCUUUUGCUUACGAUAACUCCGGGGAACGUAUUUGUCAACAAGAGCAGUUUUGAAUUGCUCCCAAGUCAAAUUCUCAAUUUGUUCCGGAGUAUAAGUCUUUUGCCUAGCCUCCCACCAGUAGUCAGUUGAAACGAUGUGCAUAAAAGACGUUCUUGAUCAUUACACCUCAGGAAUCAAAAGAUUCGCUCCAUAGAUCGGAUCCAUUCCUCAGCCUCUGUCAGAUUUCCAGUCCCACUAAAAGUAGGUGGGUUCUGACGGAGAAAAGUUCUUCUAUUCUCCUUUCAGGUGGUGGGGAUGGGGGUGGUGUAGGGUCCUGAUCGUAUACACCUGCUAGUUCUCGAUUUCUUCUUUUAGGCGGCAUUCUAUUUAAAAAAAUAAACACAAGGUCUAUGUUAGAUACAUCAUCAUUGCAAAAUAGCUCAUACUUAAGCAAUUCGUAUUUAACUCAUCAUACUCAACAAAUAGUAACUCAUGAAAUUUGCUAAAUGACCACGUAGGUCAUCAUCAUAUAUUGAUGUGUGUGAUUUAGUUGUCUAGAUUAUGUUUUUUAUCGUGUGAUUUUUCUUUGAUAUUAUCCAAGUUUGUGGUGUUUUGGCGCAGGAAUUGCGUGGAUGAAGAAUGAAGAUGGCAGAUGCCGGGAGAUGAUGAAAGUCGAGAAUUUUGAUGAAGUUGGCAUAAUUUUGAAGAGAUAAUUAGAGAUUGGGCUUGGAGCUAAUUAUUUUAGAUUUAAUUAAGCCAUUAAACUCUUGUGUUUAAAUUAUCUUUGGGCUUUAUUUUGUAAGUAGCUGAUUGGCCCAAUUAUUGGGUGAUACACGGCCAUGAAGGGAUUUAAUUACCUAAGCCUUCUUUUUGGGAUUACACUUAGCCGCCACAUUAGAUAGUUAUAUACUAUAUGUUAGGGAAUUAGCUAGGGUAUAUAAGAGAUUGGCGGCGGAGCUUAUGUAUUAGAUUAGGGAGUAGUAUAUUAGCAAUUAGUUUAGUUGGAGUUAUACGUUUUUUUUUACUUAUUAGAUUUAGACUUUUAUUUCUUGCUUUUGGAGUUAAUUGCUUAGGGAUCGCACUUGGCAGGAGACAUCCUUUUCCUUUUGUUCCAAUUGUGGUGAUCUCUUUCAAUUUUAAUUGCAACUUUACUUAUUUUAUUUUAUUUGUUUUAUGUUUGCUUUAAUUUAUUUGAUUGUUCUUAUUUUCGUUAUGAGUAACUAAUUAUUUAAUUCAGCGAGAAUAAUGAAACACUAAUUUAAUAAUCUGUGAGACCUAAUUGAGCAUAAAAUUGGUUCCUAUUGAUUUCGAUUUAUUCCUAGGGUUUAAAGAUAAUUCUGAUUUUAUUUAAGUCUGGCCAACUUAGGUUUAAUUGGAUUACAGUCAAUUAGCACCUCCAAUCCGUAAUUGUUGGAAUAGGGCUGAUUAGUGAUAAAGCUACCAUGUUCGUAGUAGGAAUAAAUUGGUGGAUUAAUUAUUACUAGCGUAUCUAGGAUAAUUGGUCUAAACUGGGUUCCUUCAUCUUAAUGCUAUUAGAAUAUUAAAUCUAUGACUGGCGUAUCCAGCUAGGUUAUAUUUUAAUAAGGGAAAUAGGCAGGACUGGCGUAUCCAGACGUCUAUCGACACAGUAAGUAGGAAUUGGGGUAUGUUAGUGCGUAUCACGGUAUCCUAUAACUAGUUGGUUGAUAGGGAUUAAUUAAUUUUUGCGUCGAUGAGCAGAGUAUUAAAUUGAUAUGGAUUUAUUUGAGCCGAGUUACCUUUCAUUAAUUGUUUUCUAGAAUAUUUUCGUGCUUUGUUUGUUUUCUUAGUUUAUAAUUAUUUCUCUCAAUUUAAGGCGUGGUGGCAUCACCGAAAUUUUAGAUCUUUAGGAAAUUGAUUGCAAUUACCUGUUCUCUGUGGUUCGACCCUGCUUGCUACUAACUAUACUAAUUCUUAGCUAUUGCAGGAAUUAUUUGGUGGUACACGACGCCCACCAUAUAUCAUCAAGCAAAACCUGCCUCCUCAGAGGACUUUUACAAAAUAGCAGGGGUAUGUGCAACAAAAAUCCCUAGUACUAAUCCUGAUGUUCUACUAUAUAAACAUCACAACUAGUACUAUACCACGGUGCGGUCUGCUAGACUCCGCAUCCGUAUCAUCAAAACAUAUAUAUAUAUAUAUAUAUAUAUAUAUCUACACACCACACAUAGCUAUAUACAUCUAUGUAUAUACAUAAAGUUACUACACCUCCUAUCUAACCAUCAUCAAAGAGUAGCUAACAUCUGCUCAUGCUGCACUGGACUCGCUAGGCUCCAUCUCUGUCUCGCCCUCAUGUCGUGGAACCUCGUGAACUCUCACACUGUUACCUGCAGAAUCUCUCCUCAAGAAAACACGUAUCGUCUGACUGUGUGUCUCUGCCUCGUGUGAAUCAUCCGAGUUGACUACCACAUCCGCUUGAUUUAGAUCUAUCGGCUCUCGACGUAUGGUUCCAAUAGUCAACUGUAUCCCGAGAGAAUCCAUAUGGUCUCGAGGUACUCCAAGUGGUUUGAAAGGUCCAGCUUCAAACUCAUCGCGGGUGCGGGUUCCGAGGAUGGUACAGUCGGACGUGAGUGAUUGUUGAGGAGUUGUCUCACUAUCAGAGGAAACCACUAUGUAGAUCGGUGUAGGAGAACGAAGUAGAGCAGCUAUCUCGUCAUCAGUGUCAGACUCAAGGAGUGGGGCCACCUGAACUGGCUCGGGCGGCACAUACAGAGCAGGGUCAUCUCAUGGUAGGAAAUCAGCAAUCCCUCAUCCAGCUUGGAUGUAGUCUCCUGGUAACGUGUAUGGUCCAUAAGGAGUUGCCCCAUAGCGGAAAUACUGAUAACUAACCGCAGCUACGAAACCUGGAAAAUCUACAUACAAGUUGAUUUAUGCUUAAUUGUUCUAAUUUUAGGGGUUUGCAUGUGCAUAUUUUAAGUUAAAUCUUCUAGAAAUUGGUGUGUUUUACUAUUUGUUUUAUGCUUUGCAGGAGAUUAAGGUUUUAUAGAUGGAAGAGUGCAAUUUUGGAGAUUUUAGAUGAAAAUGGCAUUUUUAGGAGUACUCUGGUGUACAGAGCUGAAAAGCCCGCUGCAGAGCAGAGCAGAGAAGCUCGUCAGAGCAUAGCUGCGAGGAUAGCUCUGUAGCAGAGCAGAGCCGACUUGCAGAGUCAGAGCUGAAAUCUUCAGAGCUGAACUUCCCUAUCAGAGCUGAAAUCUCCAGAGCUGAACAAACUUGUCAGAGCAGAGCUAAACUCAGAAGAGCAAAGCUAAAUCGACAGAGCUGACUUACGCGCCAGAGCUAAAGAUCGACAGAGUCAACAUAUGCAGAGUCAACUUUACAGAGCUGACUUUUCAGCUCUACACUACUCGCCAGAUCUGAACUUUGCAGAGCUGACUUUCAGCUCUGCCAUACCUUUGCAGAGCCGAGUUUCCAGAGUUCGCUAAAUGUUGCAGAGCUACGAUUUUUGCCAGAAUUGAGGUGUUUUGGAGAGUACGUUGCCAGCUGGACUUACCUUUGCCUACACGAUUCUAUUACCUUAAGAGUCUAGUUUUGAAGCCGAGUUUGAUGCUAAUUAGGGUUGAAAGAAGUCUAUAAAAUGAGGCUUGAACGUGAAGAACAAUCAAUCAUUUUGCCUCCGGCACUUAGUUUAGCUUAAUUCGACACAUUCCCCUUGCCCUAAUCUUUAGUUUCCGCUAGGCAGCCGAAGACUUAGGUUUAUUGCUUUCUUAGUCUUAGUUUCGAAUUCAUGUUCUUAGUUAGUUUAGUAUAGUUCUUUCAAUUCAUGUUUUAGAUUAGUUCCCGUUUAGAGUUGUAAUUACGUGACAGAUUACUUCUCGAGACGAUUUACGGUAUUUCUUUAAUCAAGUUUAUUUAUUUGCUUUUACAUGCGUUUCUUUAAAUUCUGCUAUUUAAAUUCUGCACUUUUAAUUAUGCAAUUUAGUUUAUGCGUUUUUAUGAUGCUUUCCUCUAAAUUAUGCAAUUUCGUUUCUACCUAGUUAGAUUAGAUUAGAAGCUUUUAAUUAAAGUUAUUUAAAUUCAACUUGCCUAGUUAAUUCCUUUAUUUUUAUGCGUUUAAUCUUGCCUAGGGUUUUAUAGUUUAAUUCGCCUAGUUAAUUUUAAGAUUAAUUUUUAGUUAAGUUUAAUUUACAAGCAUUAGUUAAUAAUCUCUAGUUUACAGUUUUUGUGUGACAUAAUUAAUUGCCCUUAAAGAUCUUCCUUGAGAGAUGACACUGGGUCAACUUACCAUCACUAGGAUGUCCUUGUUCUAUUGCAAGUCAACUUAGAGGUGUUUCUAGUUGAGUCACAGGCCGUACUCCUCACCAUAAUAGUAUAAGUAGUCUGAGGCAAUGUAGGUCGCCCAACCCUUCCAGUCGGAUGGAAGUAGAGUCAACAGUCGGAUAAUGCCAUCAUACGAAGAGAUCCCAUAUAUGCUAGCUGCCAACCAGUGCUCGUGGAAGUGGGCAAGAAAUUCCCCCAAUGUGUCUCUCCAGCACAUGCCAUAGUGGAGGUACUCCCAGCGGAUCUCAUCCCAUGUCGCUCUAGUACUAACCCUCUUCCUCGCGGUACGUAGGGUACGAGCCAUCCUGCCCAAUAUAACUUUUACAACUUAGCUUAACAUAAUACUCAUAAAAACUAACUCCUAACAAAUCUCCCAAAUGAUGAAAUAGUUCACUCAAAUAACACGUACUUGAAUAAUUAAAUAUUCAUCUAAAUCACUUACAAAAUCAUAACAAGUUUAAAAUGAACAAUAAUCCAAAAAAUUCUAAUUUAUGUAAUAAAAUUCAUAUCAUUCUAAAAUAAACAUCACUCCAAGAAUCUCAUAAAUAGCAUCAUCCAUCUUCAUUUAUCAGAACUAAACUUUAAAUCACAUCAUAAUUUUUUUUUCAAAGAAGAAAAUAAUUAAACUCAUACUGAUUAAGCUGGAUGAGAUGGUGUGUGAGCUUAUAUUAAUAUCUAGUAGUCUAGAGAUACAUCUAGACUAAACUCAAAAUAAAUUAGGCUCAGAGCAAGGCCUGCUCUGAUACCACUUGUCGCAGCCGGCCUAGGAGAAAGAUAGCUAGACCAGGUAUCGUACGACUAGGGUGGAGAAACGAGAGAUGGAAAGUAAUUGAAAGGAAACUAAGACAAAUAAAUAAUUAACAACUCACAUAUAUAUAAUCAAUGAAUUUCAAGAGGUUCGUCAUCAUCAAACUUUAACAAAAGAAGUUUAAACCAAAUAAACAUCAUAACCAAGAUUUAUCAAGCUCAUCAUAUACAUGGUAAGGUUUUAAAACACUCUACAACACGUCAAAAGUGAUAAGAGAAAUAAAGUGUUGCAGCGGAGUACAUCAUUGGACAUUAUGUAUGAAGACACAACAUCCUGAGCCUAUUACUAUUUACAUAAACAAAAAGCUCCAGCUCAGCACACUUCCAUCUUCAUCCCAACUUAACCUGCACAUUUAGAAAGAUAUGCAGGGCUGAGUACCAAAAGCACUCAGUGAACAUGUGCCGAAAACAUUUGAAACUCUGCAUGAUAAUGCUAUAUAUUGAACUUGCCACUUUAAGCAAUACACAAGGGAUUUUCUGAAGCAACCUGUGUUUGCUAAACUGUUUUUACAUAGUAAUUGAAAGUGUCUGCGCAGACUAAGUUCUCAUAUAAGUAUGUACCAUAUCUACUAAUCUCAAUAAACACGUUGAGAAGUAGGCCUCCUUCCCAAACGUAACGACAAGCUAACUCAAGGUUAACCGUCACUCUGUGUACACAAAUCCUGACUCGCUCAGGACGCGAAUUCGUUCUUCUAUGUAGAUGGUAUCAUACAAAUCUAAAUAUUGGCAAGUCAACAAUUUGAAAAUAAAUGCAUACACUUAAACUUUAUAUAAUAAAGUAUGCAUCUUUGUUUCUUGAGUUAGUAAGCCCACCUGAUAUUCUCCUUACUACUUGUACCUAGUGUCACUCGUUCCUAGCGGACCUUUAAAUAGAUAAAAAAUUCGUAAGAAAAAUAAGUAAGAAAAUAUAUAUAUCUAAUAUUAUAACAAUAACUCAUGUUUCUUUACUUAUUAUUCUAACAUUUCCUCACAUCAAUCAUCAAUAAUAACCACUCAUCUCUAAUCAAUAAGGAAAGAUAAAAGAAUAGCUAAAUGUUUCAAUCUCAAUAAUAAUCAUAUUAGUUUAAUAAACUAAUUUAAUCCUCAAUCUCUUUAAAAGAACCUCAAUGAGCUAAAAUUAAACUCCAUCAAUGCUACUACUCUCAACUAUAUGCAUAAACAUAGCAACUUUAUCACUCCCUGCUCUAUACAUGAGCUUUAUAAAAGAAUUGGGUAGGGGCUGUUCAAAUCUCAAUAAUUAAUAAAAUCACAUCAUAAUAUACAUAUCUCCAUCAAAUAGUAGCAUAGGAACACUCUUAACACAAAAGUCCUAAUUUCCACUAAACUAAUAAAUCAAUCUCCCAAACCAUGUGAUGUAAACUCAUAAUAUACUCAUAUAUGACAUAGUUCCAGCUCAAGAACACAUAUAUGAACUCAAUUAUUCAAGAACAUAAUUAAAAUUUUCGAACUCAACCUAGGGUUUACACUAACUUGAGAAAAAUCCAAAAUCAAGUAACAAUUACUGCAAUUAACCACCACAAUCAUGCUUAGGAAUAUCAAAAACAUAAUAUAUAUCAAUAUUAGAAUCAUACUUCAACUCUAAUAUAAAAUCCCCAAUUUUCGAAGAACCCUAAAAUUGAAAGAAUAAAUUUUCUUCAAGCUAGAAUUGUAGGAAAACAGAGAAUCGAAGAAAUUCACCUUUUUCUUUCAAGAUGUUGGAGUUAUCACUUGAAAUCUCUCAACGAAUUUAUCUUGAAAGAAGGAAAUGGUUGUUCUUCUUUU